ensembl:snRNA U6 U6 spliceosomal RNA
GUGUAAGCUUCGGCAGUACAUUUACUGAAACUGGAAUGGUACAGAAAAGAUUGGCAUGAUCCCUGUACAGGUAUGACACGCGAAUUCAUGAAGCAUUGCAUAUCUUU